GGUUAAGCGACUAAGCGUACACGGUGGAUGCCCUGGCAGUCAGAGGCGAUGAAGGACGUGCUAAUCUGCGAUAAGCGCCGGUAAGGUGAUAUGAACCGUUAUAACCGGCGAUUUCCGAAUGGGGAAACCCAGUGUGACUCGUCACACUAUCAUUAACUGAAUCCAUAGGUUAAUGAGGCGAACCGGGGGAACUGAAACAUCUAAGUACCCCGAGGAAAAGAAAUCAACCGAGAUUCCCCCAGUAGCGGCGAGCGAACGGGGAGGAGCCCAGAGCCUGAAUCAGCAUGUGUGUUAGUGGAAGCGUCUGGAAAGGCGCGCGAUACAGGGUGACAGCCCCGUACACAAAAGCGCAUGUGCUGUGAGCUCGAUGAGUAGGGCGGGACACGUGGUAUCCUGUCUGAAUAUGGGGAAAUUCAUCCUCCAAGGCUAAAUACUCCUGACUGACCGAUAGUGAACCAGUACCGUGAGGGAAAGGCGAAAAGAACCCCGGCGAGGGGAGUGAAAAAGAACCUGAAACCGUGUACGUACAAGCAGUGGGAGCACAGGUUUACCUGUGUGACUGCGUACCUUUUGUAUAAUGGGUCAGCGACUUAUAUUCUGUAGCAAGGUUAACCGAAUAGGGGAGCCGGAGGGAAACCGAGUCUUAACCGGGCGUUAAGUUGCAGGGUAUAGACCCGAAACCCGGUGAUCUAGCCAUGGGCAGGUUGAAGGUUGGGUAACACUAACUGGAGGACCGAACCGACUAAUGUUGAAAAAUUAGCGGAUGACCUGUGGCUGGGGGGUGAAAGGCCAAUCAAACCGGGAGAUAGCUGGUUCUCCCCGAAAGCUAUUUAGGUAGCGCCUCGUGAAUUCAUCUCCGGGGGUAGAGCACUGUUUCGGCUAGGGGGCCAUCCCGGCUUACCAACCCGAUGCAAACUGCGAAUACCGGAGAAUGUUAUCACGGGAGACACACGGCGGGUGCUAACGUCCGUCGUGAAGAGGGAAACAACCCAGACCGCCAGCUAAGGUCCCAAAGUCAUGGUUAAGUGGGAAACGAUGUGGGAAGGCCCAGACAGCCAGGAUGUUGGCUUAGAAGCAGCCAUCAUUUAAAAGAAAGCGUAAUAGCUCACUGGUCGAGUCGGCCUGCGCGGAAGAUGUAACGGGGCUAAACCAUGCACCGAAGCUGCGGCAGCGAACGUAUCACUUAAAGCGAUUCAGCGGGUUACGAUUGACGGAGCGAAGCGACGUCAAAGCGUAUACAAAGUCGAGUCGGUUUAAGGAUACGUUCGUUGGGUAGGGGAGCGUUCUGUAAGCCUGUGAAGGUGUGUCGUGAGGCAUGCUGGAGGUAUCAGAAGUGCGAAUGCUGACAUAAGUAACGAUAAAGCGGGUGAAAAGCCCGCUCGCCGGAAGACCAAGGGUUCCUGUCCAACGUUAAUCGGGGCAGGGUGAGUCGACCCCUAAGGCGAGGCCGAAAGGCGUAGUCGAUGGGAAACGGGUUAAUAUUCCCGUACUUGGUGUUACUGCGAAGGGGGGACGGAGAAGGCUAUGUUGGCCGGGCGACGGUUGUCCCGGUUUAAGCGUGUAGGUGUGUGUUCCAGGUAAAUCCGGUUCACUUUAACACUGAGGCGUGAUGACGAGGCACUACGGUGCUGAAGCAACAAAUGCCCUGCUUCCAGGAAAAGCCUCUAAGCAUCAGGUAACAUCAAAUCGUACCCCAAACCGACACAGGUGGUCAGGUAGAGAAUACCAAGGCGCUUGAGAGAACUCGGGUGAAGGAACUAGGCAAAAUGGUGCCGUAACUUCGGGAGAAGGCACGCUGACAUGUAGGUGAAGUGAUUUACUCAUGGAGCUGAAGUCAGUCGAAGAUACCAGCUGGCUGCAACUGUUUAUUAAAAACACAGCACUGUGCAAACACGAAAGUGGACGUAUACGGUGUGACGCCUGCCCGGUGCCGGAAGGUUAAUUGAUGGGGUCAGCGCAAGCGAAGCUCCUGAUCGAAGCCCCGGUAAACGGCGGCCGUAACUAUAACGGUCCUAAGGUAGCGAAAUUCCUUGUCGGGUAAGUUCCGACCUGCACGAAUGGCGUAAUGAUGGCCAGGCUGUCUCCACCCGAGACUCAGUGAAAUUGAACUCGCUGUGAAGAUGCAGUGUACCCGCGGCAAGACGGAAAGACCCCGUGAACCUUUACUAUAGCUUGACACUGAACAUUGAGCCUUGAUGUGUAGGAUAGGUGGGAGGCUUUGAAGCGUGGACGCCAGUCUGCGUGGAGCCGACCUUGAAAUACCACCCUUUAAUGUUUGAUGUUCUAACGUGGACCCGUAAUCCGGGUUGCGGACAGUGUCUGGUGGGUAGUUUGACUGGGGCGGUCUCCUCCUAAAGAGUAACGGAGGAGCACGAAGGUUGGCUAAUCCUGGUCGGACAUCAGGAGGUUAGUGCAAUGGCAUAAGCCAGCUUGACUGCGAGCGUGACGGCGCGAGCAGGUGCGAAAAGCAGGUCAUAGUGAUCCGGUGGUUCUGAAUGGAAGGGCCAUCGCUCAACGGAUAAAAGGUACUCCGGGGAUAACAGGCUGAUACCGCCCAAGAGUUCAUAUCGACGGCGGUGUUUGGCACCUCGAUGUCGGCUCAUCACAUCCUGGGGCUGAAGUAGGUCCCAAGGGUAUGGCUGUUCGCCAUUUAAAGUGGUACGCGAGCUGGGUUUAGAACGUCGUGAGACAGUUCGGUCCCUAUCUGCCGUGGGCGCUGGAGAACUGAGGGGGGCUGCUCCUAGUACGAGAGGACCGGAGUGGACGCAUCACUGGUGUUCGGGUUGUCAUGCCAAUGGCACUGCCCGGUAGCUAAAUGCGGAAGAGAUAAGUGCUGAAAGCAUCUAAGCACGAAACUUGCCCCGAGAUGAGUUCUCCCUGAGACUUAGAGUCUCCUGAAGGAACGUUGAAGACGACGACGUUGAUAGGCCGGGUGUGUAAGCGCAGCGAUGCGUUGAGCUAACCGGUACUAAUGAACCGUGAGGCUUAACCUU
rnacentral:rRNA from 1 species